CACGUAGGGCGCAAGCGUUGUCCGGAAUUAUUGGGCGUAAAGAGCUCGUAGGCGGUCUGUUGCGUCCGCUGUGAAAACUCGGGGCUUAACCCCGAGCCUGCAGUGGAUACGGGCAGACUAGAGGUAGGUAGGGGAGAAUGGAAUUCCCGGUGUAGCGGUGAAAUGCGCAGAUAUCAGGAGGAACACCGGUGGCGAAGGCGGUUCUCUGGGCAUGUCCUGACGCUGAGGAGCGAAAGCGUGGGGAGCGAACAGG
rnacentral:rRNA from 1 species